CAAAUAGGAGACUAACCAGGACUUAGUUAGUUAGGCUUUCUACAUUGUGAAUCAAACCAACCUGCUGAUGCUGAAUUCCAUCUACUCCAGGUUGUUUGGUCCUCCCUCUUAUCUGACUGAAGGUUUCCCCUUUGGUUGCAACCGUGACAGAGAGACUAUGGGCACGCACGAGGGCAACUUCAACCAGAAUGUCAAAUAAUUCCACGGAUGAGGCGUAAAAAGUUCUCUGGUGAGAGAUCCCUGGAUACUGCAGCAGAACACUAAUCCAGAGAAGUACACUCAUCAACAUCAGAGAGGGAAGAGCAGGGAUUGGAUUAUGUGUAGCGGACCUUGAGUCAAUCACUGUCCAAGCCAUCUUCCGACCACCCAGACCAGACAGACCAAAUGCCACCAAGAGUGGUGUGACCGCCCUGGGAAGAAAGGCAAGAGAGCUGGGAUAAGAGCUAGGCUGGCCCAGCUUGGACCUAAGGCUGCUCCACUAUCCAGCCUGCUCCUGGCUAAUGUCCGCUAUUCACAGGACAAUAAAAAAGAUCAAAUAAGACAAUGGGAAAUCAGAGACUGUUGUUCCCACAUCUGUGUGGACACCUGGUUCUGUAAGUGGCAUCCCGUAUUGGGCUAUUGCACUCAAAGGGCGGACCAUGUUCUGCUCCAACAGAGCAUCAGACUUUGGUGGGACUCAGGGAAGCAGACUAACUGAAAACACACCGGUGCUGCAGCUGCAUGGUGCGUCAUGUGACGUGCAUCAAGUGCUGCCCCUAGCACACACUGGACGCGUCAUGCUGCAGCUCGUCAACAGAUGACCACAAAAAGAUAUUACUUCAUUUACUGAAAAAUUUGUACUUCCUCCACUUCUGCAUUAGCUUAAAACACAGCAAGAGCAACAACGUUCUCUUUAUACAUCAGUGGUGAGGAGAGGAGUCAAGCUGCAAUAGGAGCAGAGGAACAAGCUGCUAGGGGAGCUGGUAUAUAUAAGCAGAGAGUGAGUGGGGGGAAAAUGUAUUUAAACAUAGUCUAGGUUUAUGGACAAUGUUUCCCACAUGUCAAAUUUUUGUGUGAAUGUUUAAAUGUCAACCAUACUAUCUGCCUGGAGACUUAACCACUGUUUUUAUUGCUACUGUUUAUAUUCCUCCUGAUGCAAAUUCAAAUACACUGCAGAAACUGUAUGAGGUCAUCAGCAGCAAAACAAACACAUGAUAUUUAAAAAAAAAAAAAAAAAAAA